UCGAGAAUCUUCGGCAAUGCGCGAAAGCGUGACCGAGCGACGCCGCGUGCGGGAUGAAGGCCUUCGGGUUGUAAACCGCGGUCGGAGGGGAGGAAAUCCGUGGGGGCUAUCCCCCACAGUUGACCUAUCCUCGACGAAGGACGGGCUAAGUUCGUGCCAGCAGCCGCGGUAAUACGAACCGUCCAAACGUUAUUCGGAAUCAUUGGGCUUAAAGGGUGCGUAGGCGGUGCAGUCAGUCGGGUGUGAAAUCCCUCGGCUUAACCGAGGAACUGCGCCCGAUACUGCUGUGCUUGAGGGAGACAGAGGUGAGCGGAACUGAUGGUGGAGCGGUGAAAUGCGUUGAUAUCAUCAGGAACACCAGUGGCGAAAGCGGCUCGCUGGGUCUCUUCUGACGCUGUGGCACGAAAGCUAGGGGAGCGAACGGGAUUAGAUACCCCCGUAGUCC
rnacentral:rRNA from 1 species